CUGUGAUAGCUUGUGCCCUGAACGCCUGUAGAAUGAGAGCAGGGACGCUCAGCCGAAGGUAACCUGUUGCUCACUAAUGACCAAGUAGUGCCCAUGUGCUGCCUCAUAUCAUGAUGGAUAAUUAGAUGAAGCAAGGUCAACUAUAGCAGUAAUAAUAAAAUAAGCAUGGAAACAAAUUGCAGCCCAGGACAGAGUACAUAAUUUGCAGCAACUACAAGCAAAAAGUAAGUCUGUGAUUACAUAAUAGUAAAACCAAGCACAUCUGUCCUUUCAGCA